rnacentral:rRNA from 1 species
UACGGGGGGGGUAAGCGUUGUUCGGAAUCACUGGGCGUAAAGGGCGCGUAGGCGGCCGCGUAAGUCACUUGUGAAAUCCCGGGGCUCAACUCCGGGGCUGCAGGUGAGACUGCGUGGCUAGAGCACGGUAGAGGCGAGUGGAAUUCCCGGUGUAGCGGUGGAAUGCGUAGAUAUCGGGAAGAACACCGGUGGCGAAGGCGGCUCGCUGGGCCGUUGCUGACGCUGAGGCGCGAAAGCGUGGGGAGCAAACAGG